rnacentral:rRNA from 1 species
AUACGGAGGAUGCGAGCGUUAUCCGGAUUUAUUGGGUUUAAAGGGUGCGCAGGCGGCCAUUUAAGUCAGCGGUUAAAUCGUGGGGCUCAACCCCAUUCUGCCGUUGAUACUGGGUGGCUUGAUUGCGGUCGAGGUUGGCGGAAUUCGUUGUGUCGCGGUGAAAUGCAGAGAUAUGAUGAAGAACACCGAUUGCGUAGGCAGCACGCCAGACCCGUAAUGACGCUCAUGCACGAAAGUGCGGGGAACGAACAGGAUUAGAUGCCCGGGUAGUCUGCACAAUAAACGAUAAAUACUGGAUUUCGGCGACGUAAUGGCGGCGCCUAAGCGAAAGCAAUUAGGGUCCCGGCUUGGGAGUGCGGCGUCAACGGUGAAACUCAAAAGAAUUGUCGGGG